UACGGGGGGGGCAAGCGUUGUUCGGAAUUACUGGGCGUAAAGGGCUCGUAGGCGGCCAACUAAGUCAGACGUGAAAUCCCUCGGCUUAACCGGGGAACUGCGUCUGAUACUGGAUGGCUUGAAUCCGGGAGAGGGAUGCGGGAUUCCAGGUGUAGCGGUGAAAUGCGUAGAUAUCUGGAGGAACACCGGUGGCGAAGGCGGCAUCCUGGACCGGCAUUGACGCUGAGGAGCGAAAGCCAGGGGAGCAAACGGG
rnacentral:rRNA from 1 species